rnacentral:rRNA from 1 species
UACGUAGGUGGCAAGCGUUGUCCGGAUUUAUUGGGUUUAAAGGGUGCGUAGGCGGCCCUGUAAGUCAGUGGUGAAAAUACUCCAGCUUAACUGGAGGGGUGCCAUUGAUACUGCAGGGCUUGAGUGGAGUCGAAGUAGGCGGAAUUGACGGUGUAGCGGUGAAAUGCUUAGAUAUCGUCAAGAACACCGAUAGUGAAGACAGUUUACUAGGCUUCUACUGACGCUGAGGCACGAAAGCGUGGGUAGCAAACAGG